GAUGAACGCUAGCGGCAGGCUUAACACAUGCAAGUCGAGGGGUAUUGGUUUUCGGACCAAGAGACCGGCGCACGGGUGCGUAACGCGUAUGCAAUCUACCUUUUGCAGAGGGAUAGCCCCAGAGAAAUUUGGAUUAAUACCUCAUAGUAUAUGGACUUCGCAUGGAGACCAUAUUAAAGUUCCAACGGCAAAAGAUGAGCAUGCGUCCCAUUAGCUAGAUGGUAAGGUAACGGCUUACCAUGGCUACGAUGGGUAGGGGUCCUGAGAGGGAGAUCCCCCCACACCGGUACUGAGACACGGACCAGACUCCUACGGGAGGCAGCAGUGAGGAAUAUUGGACAAUGGGCGCAAGCCUGAUCCAGCCAUGCCGCGUGCAGGAUGACGGUCCUAUGGAUUGUAAACUGCUUUUAUACAGGAAGAAACACACCCUCGUGAGGGUACUUGACGGUACUGUAUGAAUAAGGACCGGCUAACUCCGUGCCAGCAGCCG
rnacentral:rRNA from 1 species